rnacentral:rRNA from 1 species
CCUACGGGAGGCAGCAGUGGGGAAUAUUGCACAAUGGGGGAAACCCUGAUGCAGCGACGCCGCGGGAGUGAAGAAGUAUUUCGGUAUGUAAAGCUCUAUCAGCAGGGAAGAAAUAGCGACCUUUGGGUCGCCAGACGGUACCUGACUAAGAAGCCCAGGCUAACUACGUGCCAGCAGCCGCGGUAAUACGUAGGGGGCAAGCGUUAUCCGGAUUUACUGGGGGUAAAGGGAGCGUAGACGGCAGCACAAGUCUGAAGUGAAAUGCCGGGGCUUAACCCCGGAACUGCUGUGGAAACUGGGCAGCUAGAGUGCAGGAGAGGUAAGUGGAAUGCCUAGUGUAGCGGUGAAAUGCGUAGAUAUUAGGAGGAACACCAGUGGCGAAGGCGGCUUACUGGACUGUAACUGACGUUGAGGCUCGAAAGCGUGGGGAGCAAACAGGAUUAGAUACCCCUGUAGUC